ACUAACGAGGAUUCCCAUAGUAACGGCGAGUGAAAGGGGAAGAGCCCAGCGCUGAAUCCAUCGAUCACUGGUCGCUUGGAAUUGUAGCGUAUAGGUGCGGCUAUCCGCUCGUUUCGUGCACCCAAAGUCCCCUUGAGCGGGGCCAUAGUCCAAAGAAGGUGCUAGACCUGUACGGGUGGCGAGGCGGUCGGUUGGUCGCUCCUUGGAGUCGGGUUGCCUGGGAUCGCAGCCCAAAGUUGGUGGUAGACCUCAUCUAAGGCUAAAUAUGGCCACGAAACCGAUAGCAAACAAGUACCGUGAGGGAAAGUUGCAAAGAACUUUGAAGAGAGAGUUCAAGAGGGCGUGAAACCGCCGAGAUUGAAACGGAUAGAGUUGACGAAACUCGAUCGCAUUCAUCCGAUCCGCCUAGCGGUUCGGCGGUUGUUGACUUCCUCGAUGAGGGCAACGCCGUCGCUGGCUGUUGGGUGUUAGAUUGGUGUAUUUGCGGUCGGUAUGCGCCGAGAGCUUUGCGAUCGCAUGUUGACGUUGAUGUAGUGGACCACUCCCUCCGGGCGUGGAACCCUGCAUUGAUUGAGGCAUGUCGUUCGUAGGGUGUUGCUGGGUGGCGUCUCCGCUAUGGUGGGUCGGCUUUGUUGGGCUGUUGUGGUUGCUGGUGAUCGCAUGCGAGUGCCUGCAGCUUGCGAUGGUACGAUGAGGUGCGGACGCGCUUGAGACGUGCAUCUCGGUGUGAACGUUGACCACCUAUCCGACCCGUCUUGAAACACGGA
rnacentral:rRNA from 3 species